UAUGCUUUUGAUGUCAUAUUUAAGAAAUCAUUGCCUGACCCCAGAUCACAAAGAUUUACUGUUAUGUUUUCUUCUAAGAGUUUUAUAGUUUUGGCUUUUAAAUUUAGGUCCAUGAUCCAUUUUGAGUUAAUUUUUGUAUAUGUUUAUGAGGUAGGGAUCUGAAUUCUUUUUUUUUUUUUUGCAUGUGGAUAUCCCAGCACCAUUUGUUGAGAAGAUUAUUCUUUCUUCCCUUUGAAUUGUCUUGGAACCCUUUCUACCCUUGAAGCUGAACCUGGGUGGCCAAGCCACAGACUGAGUUCUGUCGUUGCUGCACUCAAAACCCUGAAUGUGCUAUGCUGCAGGAACACUCAGAUGCUUUCUGGUCUGAAUUUGCUUUGGAAUACAGCCAACACUGCCUGACUCAGCUUUCUGUUACUCUGAAAAUAACAAGGUCAGUACCCCUCCCUCUCCUAUGAGCUGCUUUUGGUAACAGAAUGCAGGGAAGUAUAAGGUACAGUGUUGAAAGCCCUCUGUUGCUCAUGGGCUGAUGUGGCUGUGGCCAUAGUCCUGCAUUUCAAUGAAGGCGUAUCCCUGAGAGGCCGUAAGAAAUUCUGGAGUCCACUACCUUCUUCAGAAUUUGACAGCUGCCACUGUCAUUUUGAUUCCCUCUGUAGGUGGGCCAGAAACCCUGGUGGCGUAGUGGUUAAGUGCUACGGCUGCUAACCAAAGGGUCUGCAGUUCAAAUCCGCCAGGCGCUCCUUGGAAACUCUAUGAGGCAGUUCUACUCUGCCCUAUAGGGUUGCUAUGAGUUGGUACCGACUCGACGGCACUGGGUUUGGUUUUGGUAGGUGGGCCUUUGGAACAACAUGGUCAGAAGGAGUAAGACCAGAAUAAUGGCCUGAGCCUUCUUCUGGUAUAACUUCACCAUGAUAUGGAACAAACAUUCUAUGAACAAGAGCUUAGUUACCUCCCAGCUCAGUUUGUUUCCUGAGCAAAAACAGGCUGUUUUUUUUUCAUGUGAGCCUAUUAUAUACAUGGCUGUAUGUUAAGUCCUAAGGAAAUAAUACAAUGAAUACAAAACCCCCACCAGCAAGGAGCUUAUAGUCUAGUAUGGGAGCUGUACAUGUGUAAAUGAUUGAAUAUCAUGAGCUAUACUGAUUGUGGUCCUCAGGGAUAUAGAAUAGAGAGUAAAUAACGGAGAAGAAUGAAUCUGGGAUGGCUAUAUAGGUGGCUGGGCUUCCUUCAUUGCCUCUGUCAUGAGAAUUGGGUAGUCUUACUGGAGGAAGACUCAUUAACUACCUGCAAUAUGCAGAUGAUACAACCUUGCUUGUUGAAAUCGAAGAGGACUUGAGUCACUUAGCGAUGAAGAUCAAAGACCACAGCCUUCAGUAUUGAUUACACCUCAACAUAAAGAAAAUAAAAAUCUUCACAACUGGACCAGUAAUACCAUGAUAAAUGGAGAAAAUACUGAAGUUGUCAGGGAUUUCAUUUUACUUGGAUCCACAAUCAACGCCCAAGGAAGCAGCAGUCAAGAAAUCGAACAAUGCAUUGCAUUGGGAAAACCUGCUGCAAAAAACCGCUAAACCAAAACCAAACCCAGUGUUGUCGAGUCGAUUCCGACUCAUACCGACCUUAUAGACAGAGUAGAACCACCCCAUAGAGUUUCCAAGGAGUGCCUGGUGGAUUCGAGCUGCUGAUCCUUUGGUUAGCAGCCAUAGCACUUAACCACUACACCACCA